rnacentral:rRNA from 1 species
AGAAUCAACGCUGGCGGCGUGCCUAACACAUGCAAGUCGAACGGGAAAGUGGAGCAAUCCAUGAGUAUAGUGGCGACCGGGUGAGUAACACGUGACUAACCUACCCUUGAGUGGGGGAUAACCUCGGGAAACCGGGGCUAAUACCGCAUAAAAUCUUCGGGAUGAGAAGCUGGAGAUCAAAGGAGCAAUUCGCUUUUGGAGGGGGUCGCGGCUGAUUAGCUAGUUGGCGGGUAACGGCCCACCAAGGCUUUGAUCGGUAUCCGGCCUGAGAGGGCGCACGGACACACUGGAACUGAAACACGGUCCAGACUCCUACGGGAGGCAGCAGUGGGGAAUUUUGCGCAAUGGGGGAAACCCUGACGCAGCAACGCCGCGUGGAGGAUGAAGUCCCUUGGGACGUAAACUCCUUUCGACCGGGAAGAUGAUGACGGUACCGGUGGAAGAAGCCCGGCUAACUUCGUGCCAGCAGCCGC